rnacentral:rRNA from 1 species
UUCCUACGGGGGGCAGCAGUGAGGAAUAUUGGUCAAUGGUCGGGAGACUGAACCAGCCAAGCCGCGUGAGGGAUGAAGGUACAGAGUAUCGUAAACCUCUUUUGUCAGGGAACAAAGGCGGGGACGUGUCCCCGGAUGAGUGUACCUGAAGAAAAAGCAUCGGCUAACUCCGUGCCAGCAGCCGCGGUAAUACGGAGGAUGCGAGCGGUAUCCGGAUUUAUUGGGUUUAAAGGGUGCGCAGGCGGUCUGUUAAGUCAGCGGUCAAAGCCCGGGGCUCAACCUCGGCCCGCCGUUGAAACUGGCAG